UACGGAGGAUGCAAGCGUUAUCCGGAAUGCUUGGGCGUAAAGCGUCCGCAGGUGGCUGUGUAAGUCUGCUGUUAAAGAGUGAGGCUCAACCUCAUAAAAGCAGUGGAAACUACACAGCUAGAGUGCGUUCGGGGCAGAGGGAAUUCCUGGUGUAGCGGUGAAAUGCGUAGAGAUCAGGAAGAACACCGGUGGCGAAGGCGCUCUGCUAGGCCGCAACUGACACUGAGGGACGAAAGCUAGGGGAGCGAAUGGG
rnacentral:rRNA from 1 species